rnacentral:lncRNA from 1 species
GUUGUGAGUAUCAGUGAAAUCCCCCCGGACAGUGGAUGCCGUCCCCUGUCCAUCGGGAUCUACCUCCCCGGCGGGGCAGUAUUUUCCGAUUCGCCUGCGACGCGUGGCUUUGCCGGCGCGGCG